ensembl:lncRNA
CUGGAAAAUGAACCAGUUCUUAUGAGCUGCUUUUCUGUAUGAGCAGUCAAAGCAUUUUAUACAGCGUGCUUCAUUCACACAAGCACUUCUUUUUCUAACAAUGACACUAUGAUGGAUGCAUCGGAGAGGAAGUCGGGGUUCCACAUCUUGCCCAAGGAUACUGUGGCGUGCAGACUGGAGCAGCCAGGGAUCAAACCUCCAACCUUCCAUAGCAACCAGGACCAUAAUGAACCCUGACUCCAACAGACACUCAGGAUCCACCUGCCCACUUGCUGAGCAGAAACAUCUAUGAAGAGUCCAGUCAGUGAUUAUUACUCAUUAGAAGGGAAGAUGAAGAAUCCUGGUGUUGGAAGCUCACACUGUCUGCACUGUGCAUGCAAAGUCCACUGAAUGAAUGAACCAGUGAAUGUAGGAAGUGCCCACUGUUUCUGUAAGUAUGGGAGGACCCACCUCUCUCUGCAGAUGUCCCUGACACAGGCGGCCCUGGCCAGGAUCUGCUCCCACUGGGCGUCCCUCCCCAGCACCACC